AAUACUGACCUAAAGUAAGGGAUUGUAUAAUAUUGACCUAAAGUAAGGGAUUGUAUAAUACUGACCUAAAAUAAGGGACUUCAUUUAACAUAAAGUUUGGGAUUUUUUUUCCAAAAAAAAUCUGUGUGUCUUAAAUGUUUUAAAGUAUGAAACAGAUGGAAUGAAUGUAUUAUAACCAGUCUCAGCUACCAUUGAGCAGGUUGUCCAAUGUAUCACUGGAUGCCAGGGAUUAGAACAUGGAUAACUUUUGUUUGGGUGUUUUUUAUUUCCUGGAGGGCUGGUUUAGUUUGAUUAAUUCCUUGUUUGUUUAUUUAUUUAUCAAAGAAAAUACUUUCUCUUCAUGUAAAAACCUGCCAAUGUUUCACUGUAGGAAAUGUACAAUUUGUUUUUGUUUGUAAAGUUGCAUUGCAUAUCCUGGAUUAGGGUCUGGAUGACUCAAUAUUUGUAGAGUUUUUUACAAUUUUUUUAAACUUCUCAAGUUGUUACAUAACUAGAGUCAACAUUUUAUUGGAACUUAUUGACAUUAUUAUAACUGCUUUAUUAGUUCUGCCUAGUUGACUCUACCCACUUUGUUUUUUAAUGAAGUUAGGAUACCCAAAAAUAGGUGCUUUAAAUUUCACUUCUUCUGUGGCUAAUAGUCUUUAGGCUGCCAUGCUAUUCAGUGGUAUAUCUAUUUAACUUUUUUUCAGUUUUAUUUUGAAUACCUGACAGUGAAUCCACACGUACAUCUAAAUUUGGAACCCUCUGGCCCCCAAAGUAUUUGACUUCAUCCACCAUAGUCAGCUUUACAAAGACAUUUGUUUCCUUCAGUAACUAGGUUCACUGCUAUAUGAAAUAGAAUGAAAUGUUUGAUAGGGUAGGCAAUUUAUUGUUAGAUGAAAUAGAAUGAAUUGCAUGAUAAGGGAGACAAGUGUUGUUUGUUUCUGUAUUAUGAACAUCACAAUGAUAUCCCCUGUCACUUAACAUGAAGGUAGACCAUCACUCAGACAUGAACUCUUGCACCAAACUUUCACUUGUGAAGUUUACUUAUUAAAGGAAUUAAGCUGGGAGAUUGUUAAGUCUAAAAUUAUUAAAGUAAAGUUGUUUCUUUUAAAUGCCACAUACAUAUAAAAUAUUCAAAUAGAACUCUGAACACUCAUAAUUUUCUAUUGAAACUGGGAUUUUGUAUUUAUUUACAAGUAACUCAUUACUUGGACAAGUGAAUUAUGCAGAAACAAAUGUCUACUCUAUCUGUGUGUAUGUCAGUAUUGUUUUGAAAUUCAUACACAAUUGUUUACAUUACCUCAUAACUAUCUGCUGAACCUGGAGUCCGCAAACCACAAAACCCUUUUUUUAUUUUGGUGCUGCCUACAUUAUGUCCAGCAAGUGAUGAUAUCUCUUAUAAUGUGUAUCUAUCAUCAACACUCUAGUACAUUUUAAAGAUAGUAUCAUGUAAAAGUACAUUUUAAAGAUAGUAUCAUAGAAUGAUCAUCUUGAUUUGAUCUUGCAGGUUUGUCUUAUUUUUUUUAAUAAACCCUUUUACUGCAAUACUGUCAGAUAUGUUUUUCUCUGUGACUAAGACUGUGGCCAGUUCAAAAAAUAGGUUCUUGGUUCCUGAUACAUUGUAGCAUUCAUUUAGGUUAGAAAAAUGAGAAAAUGACUUUUUUAAGACAGACCUUUUGCUUCAUUUUUAAUUCAGAAUAAUUUUGACCUUGUGAUUUUUUAAUUAUUUUUUUUUAACUCUUAGACAUUAAAAAAUGUUCAAAAUGGAUUAUAGAAUUACUUUUUUAAGUUGACUUUCUACAAGGCAAAUUUUAAAAGUUUGGCUUCACUCUUCACAUUCCAAACUGUUGAUUUCUCCUAAAGCUACAUGUGAAAUGACAGCUUGACUUUCCUAGCAAUGUCUUCCUAGUUGCUUACCAUGUCUAUGAGUUGUUUGCUUUCUAGAGUUCCUGUUUUUAGGAUCACUCGGUGAGGCCUACAAUCCUGUACAAGUGGUAGAUGUGUGUCUCUGUUCAUAGCAAGGUUAGCAUGCAACAUGUAUUGGCUUGAUUUGAUUAUGUAUUGGCUGUUUGAUUGACUCAUCACACAUUUAUAUGUGAAUUGUUUGUGUGCCCAUGAAGACUAUUUCUGCCCAGCCCUGUCCUCCCAAGCUUGAAAAUUGACCCACAUACUGUUUGUUUCCUAGAUAGUACCGGUACAUUUUUGUUUCUAUUUGACAAGCCAGCUGUCUUAACCGAAAACUUCUCCAUAACCAUAGAGUCAAUCUUGCCUCUAUAGCUUAGACUUGAUCUCUUUGUAUUUUUGUAUUAAUGUGAAAACAAAGUUGAUUUAUUUAAUUGGGUUGUCUACCUUUUUUAUCAAUGUAUGAAAAACUAAAUGUCUUAGGAUUAAAGAUUCUGGUGUAUUAGUUGAUUAAUUCUUAGCUUGUAGUAUUUUUACCUGGUCAACUUUCCCCGAUUUCUGCACCCCCUGUUGGUGAUUUCCUUUUGGAUUAUAUCCAUGUCAAUGAGUGCUUCAAUGUCAAGGCUGGCAGAUAUCUUGAAGCUCAAGGAAACACAUUAUAUACUAAAUAUUCUAUGUACAUGUCAAAUCUAUUUAUUGGUAAGCCAAGAAUUUUUAUUUUUUUUAUCAUGUACAGUUAGAUUUUUUUCAUGAAAAAAAAAGGGGGGGGGG